AUAGGUUAAAGAGAGCUUUCUUCAGUCCACUCAUGGGUGGCGAUGGGAUUCAAUUAGCUGCCGACUCAUUCAUCCAAAUGCUGAGUUAGCAAAAAAGAUUACCCAGUAAAUGAGUGAAUGAUGCGGGAGACAAAUUGAAUCCUAAGUUUCCUGUGCUUGGACUGAAGGGAGCUCCCUCUGCUGUUUAU
rfam:Corchorus capsularis cultivar CVL-1 contig01089, whole genome shotgun sequence.